AACUGGAGUUAAUUUGAAGUGUGCUACUUAAUAUCAGCACAAUCUUAAUCAAGUCACUUCAUUUCUCUAAAUUUGUUUUCUCAUCGGUAAAACCAUGGCAACAAUGUUUGCCUUACCUUCACAUAGCAGGUGUGAUGCCAAUUUAUUUAAAUGAGUUCCAGGAAAACACUACAAAGCAUGAGUGCCUAUGAGCUAUCAAUGAAGCUGACUUUUGGAAAAUUUGGAAAUCUUACAAACUUCGUUGGACAUUUCUCAUAUGAAAAUUUGCUCUUGGGUUCAUAUAAACUGAAGGAAGAGUGACAGGGGAAAAGGGAUAUUUACAGUAGAUCCUUCCCAUGUAAACAUCAUGGCAACAUUUGUGGAAGUCAAAAUUGGAUUAAAAGAAGUAAGAAGAAAAUAAAAUAAUUUGAGAGAAUUAUGGUCUAGGACUAUGAAAGGCGGUGUCAAGAUGGUGGACUAGAGGCGAGAGAGCUGGAAUCUCUGAAAACCUUCAAAAUGAACACUAGAGUGGCAGAACCAACAAAGGAAAGGCAUAAGAAAAUUUUCCUGCAAUAGAAAAAUUGGAAGAUAUGAAGAGAAAGUCACUUUCAAUGAGGCCUUUCCAAUAUCUCUCUCUUCCACAACACCGAAGCUUACCUCCAUUCCUGUGUUAAAGGGAGAAUUCUCCAGCAAUUUCCCCGUGCCUGAUUUUGGCUCAAGUGUCUGGUCUCAGACUGAGCAUUCUACAGAGGCAUCCUGGUUGGCCUCCUUUGGGUAAGUUUGCAGUGCUUCAGUUCAGCUGAUUGGAGUUGGGUUCUGCCAAGUCCUGCCACUACUGGACCUUGCUGGGCUGAGUUCCUUCUAAUAUCACCUGGGCUGGCGUGUGCCCCAUAUCUGCUUGGGCUGUAUUCUGCAGGGCCACUUUCCUCCCAUUGCUUCUUGUUCUAUAUUGUGUUGGUUGCUGUUCUCACCCUGCUGAGGCUAGACCUAGCUGGCUGUGCUCUUUCCCCUGCAGCUUGUGGUAUACCACAUCUGAGUUCUGCUGAGGCUUGGUUAGUGCUUUCUUUUCUUAUGCCAGUGAUAUGAGACCUUCUUGCUGUCUCUCCACAUGGUCCUUGGCCAGAGCCCUGCUUCCCUUUUCUUCUAUUGGUUCUGCUGAUUCAUUUUGAGGUGUUUUGCUCUUUUGUGGUCACUUGGAGUGGAGUUGGUGGGCUUUGGGUGUUUACUCUGUCAUCUUGGCUUGGUCUCUUCAGUAUUUCCCAAGUCAGUCUCCAGGGUCUGUGGGCUCUGCAACUGCCACUUUCUCUGCAGCCUUUUUGUCUUAGAGGUUUCUCUGGUUGUACCAAACUUCUCUCCCAUGUAACCCAGUCUUUGGCUGGACUCCCUCUUUAGUGUCCAUUGUAAAGCAUCAGCCUCUCCCAGAUAAUCCUGUCUUGGACUUCUCAUUUCCUUGUAGCCAUGAUAGAGCCAACCAAUCAUACUUCCCUGUCUUUAGUUCCCCAAAAGGGAUGUUCUAUUAUUUUGGAGAGAAUCAUCUUUGGUGGUGACCCUCCUAGAGACCCCAGAGGCCCAGAGUCCUGACUCUGGGAAGUAUCCAGCACCUGGUCCUGUGUGGCAGCUGAUCACCAAUGAUCUGCCUCUUUCCUGAUCAAGGACCUGGUCCCAUGAACACUCCAGUGGUUCUGUGCCCCCCAAGUCAAUACCAAACCAAAUAUGCUCAAUUAAAAUGCUCAAGGUCUUUUGCCACUAAACCCAAAGCAUUUCCUAAACAUUUCUUGUCCAACUAGUCAGGUCUUCAGUUUAUCAAACUCCAAUUAAUUUUCUUAUACUCCAGAACACAUACACAUUCAUUAGAAAAGCCAUGGCCUCUAGAUGUAAUAAGUAAUAGCUUAACAAAAAUGUGAAAUUAUAGCAUUCAAAUAAAAAGUUAAUGCCUUGAAUAAAGAUAUAUCACAUUACUAGCAACAUAAAAUUAACUGUUGUUGAUAUGCAAUAUUCUCCACAUCCACCUGAAACUUUAAAGGAAAAGACUAAAAUUUAAAGUUACAAAUCCUGAAUCCUCUUUUGUCUCCUGAUAGAGAUUCUGACAUUCAGAUCACAAGUUCCUGAAAUUUCAUCUUUUGGGAGAAAUCAAGAGUUAAUACAGCUUCAGACAUUAUCAGCUAACAUUUAAAUGGCAAGCUUUUGAGGUUCUUAUUAGAGAAACCUUGAGCUAAGGAAUAUAUUAAAAAAUAAAAUAUAGACAAAACUCAGAAGAACUCCAGAACUUAAGUUAUCAAGUUUCUAUGAGAAAGUUUUUCAUAAAAAAUUCACAACCAUUUAAAAACCUUAAGCUAUACCAUUUUAUGCCAUGAGGAACUUUUAUCAAUUUAAAUUGAAUCAAAGCAGUUACCUAAAACUUAGAUUUAAUCCUUGGACUGAAUAACCUUGACUCCAAGACCAAAAACAUAUCUGAGUAUAGAGGAUUCAGACAGGUAGAUCUGAACCCCAUUUUGGAUAAAAAGAAAAAAAUGGUUAGGGUCAGAGUUAGGCAACUCUUGCUAAUCAUGUGCACAUCUAUAGCUCCCCAAUAACCUGGUACUCAGCAGCAGCCCCAUUUGGGGUCCUGCUGGGGCCCACACAAAAUCAUAUUUGCCCAUUUAACCCCGACAUUAGAGAGUUUUGAGAUUCCCACAUACAUGAGACCAGAGUUUGUUGUUUGAGAGUUUUCAUUUACCCAGCCCACUUGCUAACCUGAAUCAGGACCAGGGCUCCAUGGAUACCUGUUGGCGUUGCACAUCUGGUGUCAGCUAGCAGAUGGCUUAGGCAGCCAUAACUUUGAAUCUCGGUGGGACCUCCAUUUAUGUCAACUUGGAAAAACGCAGAACGAGCAAAACAGUCACAAAACCAAACCCAUAAUCAGGAAAGAGACAGAUCCUUGACCAUUGGCCGCCAUACAGAGCCAAGCACCAGACACCACACAGAGCCAAAACUCUGGGGCUCUGAGGACAGUGCCUCCAGAUUCCCUUGAAUCACCCCAAAAGAUGCUUCCCCAAAAUGGGCAUUUAUUAAGUGCUUACUAUGUUCCAGGCAUUGUGCCAAAUACCUUUACAGCUAUUAUCUCAUCUGAUCCUCAUAACAAGUGAUAUUGUGAAUGUAUUUUACAGUUGAGGAAACUGAGGCAUUCAGAUGUUAAUUGAUUUGUCCAGCGUCACACAAAUAGCAAGUAUCUGAGGCAAGAUUUGAAAUUAAGUCUUUUUGAAAUCCAAGGUUCUAUCUACUGAGUCAACAGCUGAUAUUCUACUGCUCAGUGAUCUUCUGAAAUUUCCCAUCCUCUUUAGUACAUAAUACAAAUUCCUCUUUUUGGUAUUUAGAGAAUGUUUUAAUUUGAAGAUAGAUUCUAACUUCAGGUUGAUUAUAUAUUGGUCCU